AGAGUUUGAUCAUGGCUCAGGACGAACGCUGGCGGCGUGCUUAACACAUGCAAGUCGAACGGAAAGGCCUCUUCGGGGGUACUCGAGUGGCGAACGGGUGAGUAACACGUGGGUGAUCUGCCCUGCACUUCGGGAUAAGCUUGGGAAACUGGGUCUAAUACCGGAUAGGACCGCAUGCUGCAUGGUGUGUGGUGGAAAGUUUUUAAUGGUGUGGGAUGGGCCCGCGGCCUAUCAGCUUGUUGGUGGGGUGAUGGCCUACCAAGGCGACGACGGGUAGCCGGCCUGAGAGGGUGUCCGGCCACACUGGGACUGAGAUACGGCCCAGACUCCUACGGGAGGCAGCAGUGGGAAUAUUGCACAAUGGGCGCAAGCCUGAUGCAGCGACGCCGCGUGGGGGAUGACGGCCUUCGGGUUGUAAACCUCUUUCACCAUCGGCGAAGCCGGGAGCUUUUGUUUCUGGUGACGGUAGGUGGAGAAGAAGCACCGGCCAACUACGUGCCAGCAGCCGCGGUAAUACGUAGGGUGCGAGCGUUGUCCGGAAUUACUGGGCGUAAAGAGCUCGUAGGUGGUUUGUCGCGUUGUUCGUGAAAUUCCCUGGCUUAACUGGGGGCGUGCGGGCGAUACGGGCAGACUGGAGUACUGCAGGGGAGACUGGAAUUCCUGGUGUAGCGGUGGAAUGCGCAGAUAUCAGGAGGAACACCGGUGGCGAAGGCGGGUCUCUGGGCAGUAACUGACGCUGAGGAGCGAAAGCGUGGGGAGCGAACAGGAUUAGAUACCCCGGUAGUCC
rnacentral:rRNA from 1 species